rnacentral:rRNA from 1 species
UGGGGGGGGGUUGCGGGAAGGAGUGGUGACCUGCGGCUUCAUAACCGGAGGAGGGCCUCCGGGGGAGGUUGCGGGCGGCGAGGGGUGCCUCCGGCCGCACGCCCAUUCUUGUCUACUGACCCGGUUGCCUCGGCGGGCCGCGCCUGCUGUGCUACAGCGGCCGUUCGGGGGGGACGCCUGAGGGGGACUCUUGUUUCCUAGGCCACGCCCCGGGCAGCGCUCGCCGGAGGAUUACUCUGGAAAACACACUCUUGAAAGAACAUACCGUCUGAGCGAGCAACGCAAUCAGUUAAAACUUUCAACAACGGAUCUCUUGGUUCCGGCAUCGAUGAAGAACGCAGCGAAAUGCGAUAAGUAAUGUGAAUUGCAGAAUUCCGUGAAUCAUCGAAUCUUUGAACGCACAUUGCGCCCCCUGGCAUUCCGGGGGGCAUGCCUGUUCGAGCGUCAUUUCAACCCCUCAAGCCCGGCUUGUGUGAUGGACGACCGUCCCCCCUCCCCAGUAACCACCCACCGCUUAGGGGGGUGGGAGGGAGGGGGACGCGCCCGAAAAGCAGUGGUCAGGCCGCGAUUCCGGCUCCUGGGCGAAUGGGACAUACCACCGCCUCCAGGACCGGGCGGGCAGGGCUGGGCCUAACGCACCAUGUAUUAUUCAGGGUCGACCUCGGAUCAGGUACGCAUACCCGCUGAACUUAAUCAUAUCAGUAAAGCGGACAGCAAGCACGUCGACGUAAUGGUAUCGCCAGCGCACCCCGCAGCAGCCUCCACGCAGUUGGUGAGAGACGCCGCGCGCAUACACACACUGCCCUCAUAUAUGAUAUACGACGAACGCGAAGCACUACG